rnacentral:sRNA from 1 species
GGCCCUGGGUUCGGUCCUCAGCUCCGGAAAAAAAAAAAAACAAAACAAAACUCCAGAAUGAGUACAGCCUAAAUUUCUGCACCUGUAUAUUCCUGAGUGAGGUUAUCCCCUGGUCUUGAAGUUUCUCUCCUUCUCCAACUACUAGAAAAUUUUAACUUCUGUCCCUAGUCUAUAUUUGUCUCAGCAGAUCUCUGCUUGGCUAACAGACACCAUCAACAGAGCACCUAUGAACUCCAAACUGCUGAGCUCUGAAAGCUGACUUUAAAAAAGAAAGUCCAGCUGUAAUUGUCCCUUCAGCUGGACCAACUAAUCCAUUACUUCUGAAAAAUGCCCCAUUUCCCAGGCUUUGACUAGUUUUUCACCUUCCCUGGGUCCUGCCAACUGACACCUCAAGUUUGAGCUUGAAGUAGCUACAGAGAACAGAAGAGACUGCAUUGUCCCUGCCCACUUAACAGGCUGAAAAUGCUAAGUCAAAAGAAAAUUCCCUUUGGGGGAAAUUUGUUUUUAUGCCAAACAUUCUGGGAUAGUCUGGGAUACCUUAACAAAAAUAAAACAAAACCUGUUUGAUAGGGAGGAACAAAGGAGACAAGCUGAUAAAUGGUUCCAAAAUCAUUUUGAUUGGUCCUAUUGGCUAACCACCCUGCUUACUACAUCAGGACCUCCUUUUCUUCUUGCUACUCAGUUUUGCUCAUGGUCCUAAGGACCCAAAACAAUCCCUUCAACUCUGAAAUAGUAUAAUCAAAGGUUUGAAUAGUGUACAAAGCCAAGGGAGGAAUGGAAGAAAGAACCAGACUGAAGCCAUUUUGAAUAAAACUUCCAUUGUCAAGGCUUCUGUUCCCGAGACCUCCCUGGGUAACUGACAUCCUGCUUGACAGAAAGAGACAUGUACCUGGGAACCGACAUCCUGGUUGUAAGUUGAGAUGGGAAUGCUAAGCAAGUUGGCCACCACAGUUCAAUAACCCAAACGAUGGGAACAGACAGGAUAAGUGUACCCCAAAGAUAUCUAAGGAAAUCCCCUAUCCCUGAAUCCUAAUUGGUAGAAAAAUGCAACUUGGCACAGAUAUUUGUGGUUUUUAAAAGCCCUGCAACAUUCUGGCUGGGAGUGGGAUGGAACAGGGAGUUGCAGUUCAGCUCCCGAGUCUGCAUUCCUGAUCUACCAGUAGCGGAUUGAUUACAUUUUUGUUUUGUUUUGACUUGCUCUUUGAGUUGUGCUGAAUCUGAGCAGACCUCGUAACAUUGGAACUCAGAGGCUGAGCUAUGCUUAGAACGUCCAGCCAUAGUGGAGCCCUCUGGGCCCAGAGGACACACAGGUAGGGCUAGGGCCUGGCUUUGCAGGAGGCUAGAGCCCUUCCCCUGGCACUGAUCCUUACAGUGAGGUAUGGAUGCAUAGGACCUGGGAAAAAGACAGGGAGGGUGAUGCCUGUGUGAGCGGAUAACAGGUCCAACACUGGCUGCUUUGACACGAGGUCACUAGAUCACUCAUCGGCAAGCUGGCUCCCAGCCACACUAGGUCACUAGAUCACUCAUCGGCAAGCUGGCUCCCAGCCAUGCUUGCUUCCCGCUCAGCUGACACAGCCAUCCAGUUCAGUCUGGGUUCUCUAGUACUUAGUGCUUAACAUCCAGGGUUCAAAUGCCCUCAAAGCACGCUGGCCCCAAAGAACCUUCCUUUUUUUUUUUUUCCGGAGCUGGGGACUGAACCCAGGGCCUUGCGCUUGCUAGGCAAGCGCUCUACCACUGAGCUAAAUCCCCAACCCCUCCAAAGAACUUUCCUGAGCAUCUCACAAGGAGGUGUCCAUCAAAAUGGGGGAGGUGGAAUCUCAAAUCUAAAAGGUUUCCGGUCCAAAGGGGAUUCCAUUUCUGCAUUGUCGAAAUGUAGCAGCUGGAGCUGGAGAGAUGGCUCAGUGGUUAAGACCACUGGAUGCUCUUCCAGAGGUCCUGGGUUCAAUUCCCAGCAACCACAUGGUGGGUAUAGAGGAAUCUGAUGCCCUCUUCUGGUGUGUCUGAAGACAGGAAUGUAGCAGCCAACAUUGGGCCUAGGACUCCUGUGCCCACAGGGCUGAACAUUCAAGACUGUUAUAUAUGCAGCCCGCCCAUGCACUGAAAUCCCAAAACACAUCGUGCCUACCUGCUCAGGAGAUUCCAGGACACUGCAAAAGUGCAAGUCAGGACCACAGGGACCAAGCCCCAACCCCAUAGCCCAGAAAGCCUAUGAAUCAUGUACUGGCCCAGUGUCCUUUAUUAGAUUGGAGCCUAAAAUCCCAAGGUAGGUCCAUCUGGGCCUCUAUAAGUGCCCAGUGAGGAAAGGGUGGCUCCAGAGGUCAGAGAAUUCUAGCCCAACACAGGGGCAGAGGACAACCCUAGACACCAUACCUGGUAGGGGGUAAGUCACAAAUCCAGCAUCAGGUACCAAGAAAGUGUUUGCCCAGCCCAACCUGGAAAUGGUUCCUGAGGUGACAGGGGCCCUGAUCAUCUCACUGUCCCAUCGAGAGAAGUUAAGCAAGUGUAGGAAAGAAAUAGGAUUCUGGGUCCCAAGUCCACAGGGGAGAACAGGGUCAGGGUGGGGAAGGGAAAGGGUCCAUACUCCAGAGACUUCUGGUGGAGUAGACCUAGUCCAAGGCAUGUGACAGCAUCAGUCAGCUGUGUGAAGCUGGCUCCC